CAUGCCAUAAACGAUGAUCACUUGGUGUUGGAGGUAUUGACCCCUUCAGUGCCGAAGCUAACGCGUUAAGUGAUCCGCCUGGGGAGUACGGCCGCAAGGUUAAAACUCAAAGAAAUUGACGGGGGCCCGCACAAGCGGUGGAGCAUGUGGUUUAAUUCGAUGCAACGCGAAGAACCUUACCUAGGUUUGACAUGGUUUGGAAGAGUGGCAGAAAUGUCCUCGCCCGCAAGGGCCGAAUCACAGGUGC
rnacentral:rRNA from 1 species